rnacentral:rRNA from 1 species
UACGAACUGUGCAAACGUUAUUCGGAUUCACUGGGCUUAAAGGGUGCGUAGGCGGCCAUGUAAGUAGGGUGUGAAAUCCCCCGGCUUAACCGGGGAACUGCGCCCUAAACUGUGUGGCUUGAGUGAGAUAGGGGUGUGUUGAACUUCCGGUGGAGCGGUGAAAUGUGUUGAUAUCGGAAGGAACGCCGGUGGCGAAAGCGACACACUGGGUCUCAACUGACGCUGAGGCACGAAAGCCAGGGGAGCGAACGGG